rnacentral:rRNA from 4 species
GGUUAUUCCGUUACGAACGAGACCUUAACCUGCUAACUAGUCUGUCUGUGAAUAACAGAUUGUACUUCUUAGAGGGACUAUUGUGCAAGAAGCCAAUGGAAGUUUAAGGCAAUAACAGGUCUGUGAUGCCCCUAGACGUGCUCGGCCGCACGCGCGUUACAAUGACUGGCGCAGAAAGUAUUUCCUGUCCUGGGAAGGUACGGGUAAUCUUAUUAAUACCAGUCGUGUUAGGGAUAGUUCUUUGGAAUUUUGGAUCUUGAACGAGGAAUUUCUAGUAAGUGCAAGUCAUCAGCUUGCGUUGAUUAUGUCCCUGCCGUUUGUACACACCGCCCGUCGCUUGUAGUAACGAAUGGUCUGGUGAACCUUCUGGACUGUGACAGCAAUGUUACGGAAAAAUAAGUAAACCCUACCAUUUGGAACAACAAGAAGUCGUAACAAGGUAUCUGUAGGUGAACCUGCAGAUGGAUCAUUA